UUCAAUAAAAAACUUAAACAUGAGCAAAAAAGGAAUAGAAUAAUUAAAUGAGGCGCAAAGAGGUCCACUUACCAAUUCAAUCCCUGCAUUUGGUCUUCAAGAGGGCCCUCAGCUGCAUUUAACACUGCACCAAGUCCAUACACGAAAAAAGCCUUACCAGCUAGGCUUUUACACCGGCAAACGAGCGAGCCGUUGGUUGAGUGGCAACUUACGAGCUGUUGAUUGUAGAACAACUUGCGAGCCAUUCAUUGUAGAGGCACUAGCUUCUCUUACUUUUGACGAACACUACUAGGCUCCAGUUUUUGCACUCAUUAAAGCAAACCUCUUUUCUAUCGCGAUAAAAGGCAAAAUAACUAGAGUUGGGACUAUUUGCCUUCCUCGUGUAAAUAAGUUAAUUCAAA
rnacentral:lncRNA from 1 species